GUGGGGAAUAUUGGGCAAUGGGCGCAAGCCUGACCCAGCAACGCCGCGUGAGGGAAGAAGGCUUUCGGGUUGUAAACCUCUGUCCUUGGUGACGAAACAAAUGACGGUAGCCAAGGAGGAAGCCCCGGCUAACUACGUGCCAGCAGCCGCGGUAAUACGUAGGGUGCGAGCGUUGUCCGGAAUUACUGGGCGUAAAGGGUGCGUAGGUGGCCUUUUAAGUUGGAUGUGAAAUACCCGGGCUUAACUUGGGGGGUGCAUCCAAAACUGGAAGGCUAGAGUGCAGGAGAGGAAAGCGGAAUUCCUAGUGUAGCGGUGAAAUGCGUAGAUAUUAGGAGGAACACCAGUGGCGAAGGCGGCUUUCUGGACUGUAACUGACACUGAGGCACGAAAGCGUGGGGAGCAAACAGGAUUAGAUACCCCUGUAGUCC
rnacentral:rRNA from 1 species